rnacentral:lncRNA from 10 species
ACUGGUUCUAGCGGGUUUACAGAGAUUGCAUACUUGAGUGCCUUCAUGUCCUGAAUAGACCUUUUGAUGUAUAGGGCCUGAUUGCAAUAUUUAAAUAUUAAGUCUCCACCCCAAGGUGAACAUGUGUCAUAUGUAAGAUGCAUGUUUAAUAUGCAUGCAUCAGGACCACUUUCAUUAAUAUUCAUAGCUCCUCCUGUAACCUGUUGAAUAUGUGUUAAGCCAACCCAUUCAGCAUAAAAGCAUAAAACUCCUACCCCAACCCCUCCUCCUUGGAGGUGCCUGUCUCUGGGCUUCUGCUGGAGGAGGCUGUGCUUCCUGGCCUGCAGGAUGGCCACCUGGCAGGCUGUCACCCUUAAGAAAUAGUGUCUCCAUUUUUCUAAAUUUGUAUCUUAUGAUUUUUUUUUUAAAUCAGUGCAAUAGGUAACUUACCCACUAGGGGCAGGAACUCCUGUAGAAGUUCAAAGGCAUGCCAGGUUUUCCAGCACUUCAGCUAGCUGCAUAUUGUGGCCUGUUCUUGUGCACAUUUUAAAACUGAACGGGCAAAUUACAGCAAGGAAAAUUCAGAGCUCAAAUGCCCAACCUGCAACUAUACAAUUAAAAUGUAGAGUUUUCUAAAGCUAUCUCUUUUUUGUUUUCGGCCUGCUUUGAAUUUGCUGUUAUUAAGCUACUGCUGUUAAGAUAAAACUCAUUGUUUAUGAUACUACUAAUUCAAGGCUACUUGGAGCUUUCUUUACAGUUCAGCCAAUUGUAGCUAAAAUGUAAACACUGAAAACUCAUUUGAAACUUCAGGAAAAAAAAAAGGGGUAAAAGGUUUUUAAAAAUAAAACUGCCAUGAAAACUACUUUUCCCAAGACUUUGGUCCAUAGCCUUCAUUGGAUUACCUACUGGGACAAAUAAAGUUUAGCCAUGUGAACAGGUCCCAAUUUUGUCAGAAAUAAUUUGGAUCCAGCUGUCUUUUGUUAAGUGGUGAGUCUGUAUUACCAUCUCAUGGCUAAGGUUCCAGAGUAAAAGCUGUAAGAUCUUUGUGUGUAUGUGUUUAAAUGUUUGUAUAUGAACAUGUAUUAUGUUGUGUUGUAUCUAGCAUGGUACCAAACUGGUUUAUAAGUAAAUUAUACUCAUAAAUUAAGUAAGUCCAAAUACUUUUCAGAUUCAUGUGAACUUAGUAAUCUGGUAAAUAAAAUGGUUUUAAAAUUAUUGGUAAAAUAAAACUAGAAAUGUCUUCAGAAUUGUCAGCAUACAUUUUUUUUUUAGUCUGGGUUUACUGAUUAUUUUAUAUUUGCCUCCGCUAGGUGUUUUAAGGUAUCAGGAUUUGGCACAAAAGAUUAUAAGACUAUAAACCCAGUCAAAAAGAGAAUGAUCUUUGUGUGAAUUUUUUGACAAAUAAGACUAAUUUAAUAUUGUUGGUUCAAUGAAAACAGCUAAGUUGUUAGCUGUUUUGUUAGCUUCUGAGUUGUUGGCAAAAAUAUCCACAUGUUUAAGGUUCUGACUUAAAUGAACAUCUGAUAUUCACAGGCUACAAAAAUGGUUAACAGGUCAUACAGGUUACUAAACAGCUGAUGACUCGUCACAUAGAACUUACAGGUAAGUCACUGUUGUAACCUUGCUUUUUGGCUCUUCUGUUGCUCAAAAGGUUUUUAAGGGUUAAUGAGUGCCUGUUCACCUCCAUCCUCAUCUGGCCUAGAAUGUUUAAUUGGCUCCAAGUCCCUUGGCCAUAAGGAUCCCACCAAAGAACAGAAUGAACCUGCAGCAGGUAGCCACACCACCCCGGCAAAGAUAUGGGAAAAAAUAAAUGUUUGGUCACCAAUGUCAUCUCUGGCACAUCUUGGCUAAAAGGGGAGAAUGUAAACUCAGCCUCCCAAAGUGCUGGGAUUACAGACAUGAGCUACCAUGCUUGGCCAGAAACACGUUUCUAAAAAUUGUGACGUGAUUCUCAUCUUUAAAGUGCUGAUAGAGAACAGACAAUUCAAUAUUUCUUGCCUCCUAGGUUUUCACUAAAAUUUAAGGUUACUAAGAGUAAGAAUUUUAGUUAAUAUAGAAUUCUAUAUAUAAAAUGUGCCAAAUAAAUGUGUUCUUAUGGAGAAAAAGAAUAAUUUUAUUUAAUUUGGAUGUUAUUUAAAGGUUAGUUAUGAAAGAAGGUAGAAAACCAGUAAGUAGGAGAGAUGUGAAAAAAGUUAGCUAUGAAGAUGUAUUUUUGGUAAGGAAGGUUCAAAAGAGAAUAAUUUCAUAUAUGAAAGUAUCUUGCAGGGUAAAUUUCUGUCCUAAAGUAAAAUGACUGGUUAUUAAGGAAAGGGGAAAUUUAGUACAAAUCAGAAAGUACAAGCAUGUUAUAGAUGGUCUAAGUUGUGAUAAGGUUUGUGAGAGAAUACUUAUGAAAAGCAUUUUGUGUGGGAUUAAGUUGGCUAUAAUUAAAAUUAUUUAUAAAAGUCUUUCUAAAUUUUGGUCCCUUGUUUUAAAAGAAAGUUGUCUUAAAAUAUGAUUUACUCUUAAUACAAUUAAAAGAGGUUUUGAUUUUUAAUUCUAAACCUGUUUCUUGUUGAAAACUUCUCAGAUUAGUAUCUUGGAAGUUCCACUUUUGCUGCGUCUUGCUACUUUGUUUUUCUCCCCCUUUGAGAAGGCCUGAGAUGAUAACUUUUCCCUUCAACUGUUUUGCCAGCUCCUGUAACUUUUUCCCUCUGGUUCUAACUGCCACUGUGGCCUGAUGCUAAAAUGUUUUAUCUUGAAGGUCUCGAAGAGCAAUGUUUUCCUACAGUAUACCUUGAUUCUGUACUCUUGGCUUUUCCUGAUAUCCGAAUUGUUCCAUAUAACCAGAAAACUUCCCAUGCUGUUAUUAAGAGUCAUGUAUUCCCCGGCUCAAGGUACAGUUUUCUAGUUUCCUGUUUCCUCCAUAACAUAAAGUUCAUUCAUGACCCCAGACACACUCUUCUUGUGUCUGAUUAAUUCAAGUAAACUUUUUACAGUUUGAUUUCCAAGUUAUCUAAAUGGGCUUCUCAUAGGAGAAGCAACCACACUGUAGGUUUUUCUUUGCCUUUUUGGUAACUGGCCUAAGAACCAAAGAUUUUACAUUUUAUCAAGAUAAUUCCCAUGUUUUCUUUAUUAGAUUUUUUAUUACUUAGGAAAACUAAGCUUUAAAAGGGUUAAGGUUUUUACAUCCAUGUGACUUUCCAUAUUGCAUUUAAAGUCUUUUGAUUAUUACUCUUGGUUUAAUGAAUAACUAUUACAAUGACCUGUAAUUCCAUUUUGAUUAAAAGCUUUGAGCCUUUGAACAUCUUUGACAAAUGUCCUCAAAAUCAAAUAAACAUUGCUAAUUCUUCAUGUUUUGCUUUUCAGAGUCAAUAAAACCUUUUUUCUUUUAAACUAUUUACAGCUUACAGAAAUUGGGUAAAACAUUGAAGAUUACCUUUCUCUCUACCUAGUAUCUCUAGAAUUUGAAAACUAUUCAAUCCCCCUAGGCCAAUCUGCUUUCCAUUGCCAAGGCACUACUGCUAAAGCAAUACAGUAUCAAGCACCCUCCCAGUAGGCCCAUGGACUAUCACAGAAGGGGUGGGCACAUGAGAUUGUAAGGGCCAGUUUCAACAGAUAAAAUUAGUUCAGACCCUCCAAAUUAAAGAUGGGCAUACAGAUUACCAAACAGCUCAUGGCUCAACACACAGAACUCAUAGACAAGUCACUUUUGUAACACUGCUUUUUGGUUAUGUUGCUCAAAAGGUUUUUAAGGGUUAAUGCGUGCCUGUGAACCUCCAUCUUCAUCUGGCCUCCAAUGUUUAAUUAGUUUUAAGUCUUUUGGUUCCAAGUCCCUUGGCCACAGGGAUCCCACCAAAGAACAAAAUGAGCCUGGGGCAGGUAACGACACCACCCUGGCAGUGACAUGAGACAAAAUAAAUGUUUGGUCAUCAGUGUUGCCUCUGGCACAUCUUGGCUAAAAGGGGAGAAUGUAAACUAAAAAUAAAAUCCUAAGACUCCUCCCCUACAGAUUGAAUGGACCCCCUCUUGGCCAAGGGGACCCCAGAAAAUUCUUAAAAACGGAGUUCCCAGCCAUGACAGGACAGCAGGUUAGACACGACUUGUUAUACUCCCCUCCCUUUUCUGGUUUACAGACAAUUGACCCGCAUUAAAGUUAAAAUAGAGAUCCUAAGAUUGACAGAACAGAUUCUUUGUGGCAGCAACAUAACAAAUUACCAUGCCAGGCAAGGGUUAAGUUAUGCACCCCUACGCUUAAAGAAUAAACUAGGUUCUAACUGCAACAAGGAUUCUCUUUCUCUCUAGCAGCUAAACAAGCAGUGGCCUCACCAUAAACACUAAUAAAACACUUGCAGCCCUACCAGAUGCUGACUAACUGAACUCUACCAGCCAUAACUAUAGCUUUGACUGGACAAGAGAGUGAUUUCAGUAACUUUCUCCUGUUAAGAAGCCCACCGACCAUGGACUGGUUCUAGUGGGUUUACAGAGAUUGCGUACUUGAGUGCCUUCCUGUCCUGAAAAACCUUUUGAUGUACUGGGCCUGAUUGUAAUAUUUAAAUGUCGAGUCUUCUCUGUGAGAUGAACAUGGGUCAUAUGUAACAUACUUGUUUAAUAUGCAUUCAUCAGGACCACCUUUAUGAACAUUCACAGCUCUUCCUGUAACCUACUGAAUAUGCAUAUUUAGAUAACUUUUUCAGCAUAAAGCUCCAAGCCAACCCCUCCUCCUUUGAAGUGCCUGUCUCUGGGCUUCUGCUAGAGGAGGCUGUGCUUCCCAGCUUGCAAGAUAACCUGACAGGCUAUAACUCUUAAGAAGUAAUAGUUUCCUCUCUCCUUUUCCAAACUUACAGAUUUGUGAUUUUAAAAAGUUAACAUGACUUACUCCAUUGGGAGUGUUACUUAAAUGAACUGAUUUUAAAUCUCAAACAUACCAAUUACCAUACAUAUGGUAAAACUGAAGUCUGUGAGGGUAAAGCAAUUUCUCUGAGUUUCCACAGUAAGUGAAGGCUCUUCAAAGUGCCAUGCUGUUCAUCAACUUCGGAUGCUCUGCAAGUGGAGAUCUCUCCCUCAGGCAGUGGCAGGAAGAGACUCUGCCCAUCUCACUUCUGCCCACUUGAUACAAUGCUUUGGGAUUAUUUCUCCCCUCUUUCCACAGAAGAACAUCAGGAGUGGAUUGUUAUGUUUCUAUAUUACUUUGCAUGGGUCUCAUUCCUCAGCUUUUUCUGGUACAAGGUAGACUCUAAUCUUGAGGUGAGCACAUUCUAUUCUAUUCAUCUCCUCUAGGACACAAGCCACAGGAAUUCAGUGUUGACAAAGAUAGUUCUUGGUGUUGCUAAAGCUGCAGAAAUGACAGGAAGGACUCAGGAGAGAUUCUGCUUUUUUUUUUUUCCCCCAGCUCCUAUCAGACAUUCCCAGGUGGGGCUGGGGUAUUAUACCAUCUGGCUUCAGAAAUGCUCUAAGACUCCCUUUUACCCCUACCAUCUGCCAACUUCUGUCAACACAAACUGCUAAGAAAGGGAACCUAUUUUUCAGCCUAGUAUUCUUACUAUGGCAGAGAUAGAGAAAAGUCAUGCACAUAUUACAUAAGAUUGUCAAGAUCUGCCAGGGAUUCACCCUCUGCCUCUGAGCAAGACUGUUUCUAACACGAAUAGGAAGACUACCAGAGAAGGGAGAGAGAAAUCUGUUUCCUGUUUUCAAAAUCUCCAGAGGAGAUCCCUCAGCCAAGGAGAAGAGUCUUAACCCUAGUAACACACACAGCAUCCUUGAAACAAACAACAAAAGCGAUGUGGCCACAAGGAUAUGUGUGUAAUUCUUUGAUGGUGUGUUUGAUCUCGCCCCAGUUUGGCCUCACUUAAACUCAAAUCCAACAGCUUGGAAUGCAAUUUUAAAAUUCUGAGCAAUGACAAAUGUCUCACACAUGCUACCUUUUGUGCUUUCCUGGCCAAGCUGUUAUCUGCAGUUAUUUUCAAGAACAGAGUUCAUUUUUGUUCUUAUUUCUGAAUGGGGAAUUAUAUAAGGCUUGAUUUUGGCCACAGUGGAGGCAUGGAAGUUCAACCUAAGGAGGAGCAGAGUUUGCUAUCGCCUACAUUUGAUUGAUUUCAGGUUUAAACAGCAAGGCAUGAAGAUAAUCCAGAGAUGACCAGACUCUCUCUGGACAGCCUGUUUUCACCCUUGCCCUCCUUGAAACAGGUCACAUUCACAGCACUUACAUGCAUCCCCUAAAAAUACCAACUCCAAGCACAUUAGUGAAAUGGAUGUUGCACUGAAUACUCAGUGGGGAGAUGAAAAUUCACUCAACCCCACAGGAUAACUUAAGACUAGGAUGCCUAUGGACACUUGUGCUUCCCCAAGCCCCUAAAGCUGCCCUCCCCUGCAGCUGUCCAUCGCUGUUGUCUUUACCCACCUCCAUCUCUAAAACUCUCCCCUUAUUUAAAGAUAAUCUUUAUCAACACCAAAGCCAGUAACCAGCCAGAACACCUCCCCUACCACCAAGUUUCCCCAGGGUGCCAUCUUCCUUCUGCUUUCCUCUCCUAUCUCAGUGCCACUGCAAUCCCUGAAGUAGUUCAUCAACGUAUUUAUCCAACAAACUAGAUCUGUUCCUAAGGGGAAUUCUGCUGCAAAAUAAAUUUUAGUUUUCAUCCUAUUUUACCAAGCCAUUAAUAUAUGCUGUUAGCAGUAUGUGCUCAUUAAUCUUAACAAUAACCCUGUAAGCUGUUAUAAUUCCCAGCAUACUGAAAAGGUAACAGGGAGGGGCGUAGAGAAAUUCAGAGACUUACCCAUGCUAAGACUCCCGUUCCAGGUCUGCCAGGGUCCUUACCCACACAAGCUGCAGUGCAAAGGUGGGUGGCCCUGGGCAAUGUAAAAUGGGAGGAUGUGGAUAGGGCUUGGGUCUGGAGCUGCUUUCUCAACACUCCAAGCAGUACCCGUUCGCAUAUUCAAGCAGCUCCUGUGAGUUCCCUUUGGCUGAGAAGUUUCUGUCCUCUCCUGGGCCACCCUGCCCACAGAUAAAAUGCAAGUGAUUUAUUUUGUUGCUUACAAAGGUUAAGGGACUUGUGAAGGCCACAUAACUGUUAAAUGCUAUUGACACCUGGACUUAAUAAACCUAAUAGUAUCUAACAUCCAGGUGGCUAUUUGAAGCAUUAUGCCAUUAUGCCUCUUGAAAGGAAGUCUAGUCCUGGGUUAUGUUUAAAGGAGCAUUUCUUUCCUUUCCAAAAUGACUGCAGAAAGCCAACUAUCUAAGCAGGGAUUAGCAAUUCUACUUCUGAUCAGGGGAACUGACCUAUAUGGGGUAAAAGUGUGGGAUGGGGGAAGUCCCAUUUCCCCAUCACCCUCCUAAUAUUCCCCUGCCUGCUAUAGGGAGGACUUAGAAAAAUGGCUGGAGACUGAGCUAUAUUUAUUAGGGGUCAUUAAAACCCCUAAAAGGUUGUUUAAACAUCAUAUGCAUUUCCACUUCCUGCUCCAUGCUGUCAACCAGGCACAAGUACCAGGGCCUACUUUUUUUUUUUUUUGAGAUGGAGUCUUGCUCUCUCGCCCAGGCUGGAGUGCAGUGGUGUGAUAUCGGCUCACCGCAACCUCUGCCUCCCAGGGUCAAGUGAUUCUCCUGCCUCAGGUUCCUGAGUAGCGGGUAUUACAGGCGCCCACCACCACACCCGGCUAAUUUUUUGUAUUUUUAGUAGAGAUGGGGUUUCGCCAUGUUGGCCAGGCUGUUCUGAACUCCUGACCUCUAGUGAUCCGCCUGCCUCUGCCUCCCAAAGUGCUGGGAUUACAGGCGUAAGCCACUGCGCCCAAGGGCCUACUCUUUCCAAGCAGGCCCAAUGAGACGUUCUUCCCUGUCUCAGGCUUGGAAGCCAGAUGGUGGUAAGAUCUGGAUGUAGGAGGCAGAGGACAAACCUAAGCCAUGAGCCACAACCUAGCUGUUCCAAAGAUCUCUGAAAUAAGCUAAUACAAAGCAGUAUGUUGAUUUCCAUUUUGCUGUCUGCUCCUUGUGCAUUUAGCUCCAGGAGGGAGUUAAUAGGAGAGGGGUGAGUGGCAAGGCAGGAUAUGGUCAUUCCUUGGGCCCUGGUUGUGAUACUAACUUAAUAUAAUCAAAACCUAGGGUGACCAUAUAUCUAUAAUCCAUACCAGGACAAUUCUGAGAACAAAAAAGAGCACUAUUAAUUAUGCUAAGACAACAAUCCAUCCUCCAUAGCUGGAAUGCAUGGUCACCCUGUUAAAAAGUAAGAAAACCUACCCUGGGUCCUACCCUUACCUUUGAUCACAUGGAGACUUUAAUUUUUAUGUAUAACUAGAUGAGAAAACCUAAGUCCAAUAACAAUAGAUCAUUACAAAGAAAACAGCACUGGAAUACUCAAGGUCUUAGAAGAAAUAAGGUUAAAAUAAAAAAACAGCAGCAGACCUAUUUAAAAGUUGUUUUGUGGCUGGGCGCAGUGGCUCAUGCCUGUAAUCCAAGCACUUGGGGAGGCCGAGGUGGGGAGAUCAUUUAAGGCCAGGAGUUCGAGUCCAGCCUGGCCAACAUGGAGAAACCCCGUCUCUACUAAAAACACAAAAAUAAGCCAGGGGUAGCGGUGCAUGCCUGUAAUCCUAGGUAUUCGGGAGGCUGAGGCAGGAGAAUCACUUGAACCUGGUCAGUGGAAGUUGCGGUGAGCCAAGAUUGAGCCACUGUACUCCAGCCUCGGUGACAGAGUGAAACUCUGUCUCAAAAAAAAAAAAAGGUUAUGUUCUGCCCAGGCCCUCUAUUUGAAGUUUUCAUGAAACCAUCUCAUUUGUGGAAAGCAUUUUAGUUUAGAGUACUUCUACGGGCAUGCUCUAAGCCUGUGAGGCAGGUCACAGGUUUAGCACCAUGACAGAAGCUGUGCAGCAAGCAGCAGAGGCAAGACUCAAGUCCAGUAUCUGGGUUAGCCCAGUGUUUCCUCCCGUACCCAUGCUGUGACCCCUCAUGGCCUCUGCUCUGCAUGGGCCACAAGCUUGUGUCCUGAACUUAGAAUAUCUGGGGGAAGGCAGAGGACAACAUGAAAUGACGCCCAUGGGAGACAGGGAACCAAAAGGAACAUCUGUUGCCUGAAUCAAAAUUAACUGCAAAGCCAGUCAUUAGCACUGCACAUCAUCAAAACAGGAGAGAUCUGUGUCCAUUUAUUUUCAAAGCCAUCCUGGACUUGGCGGGAAAAAAAAAUGCUGCCUAAUCCCAACACGAUUUUUCAAAUAGUUUUCCAAGAUUCUAAAUCUUAUAUGUAAAUUAACUGGCAAAGGAUUAAAACCCAACAUUUAAAAUAGUGGUACUUAAUGAGGGGCAGCACAUACCUUCAAGGGGGCAUUUGGAAAUGCGUAUGGUCAUUUGAGUUGUGACUUGGGUGGGGGGGUCACAAAGAGGAUGACUCCUCUUCAAGUCAAUAAAUUUCAGUGACAUAGAAGAAAAAGGUGACCGGGUCCAUAGUCAGUGACUUGCAAUCACAGACAAGCCUAUCAUUUGUGGGAUUACUGGGCUUCUGAGAAGCAGCCCAUGGUGGAUUGACGACAAUACAGCACUUGCUGUCCUCCAGGGCUACACUCAGCAGAACACCUGGGAGUUCUGUAGAUCUGCCAAUCUCAUUUCACGGAAAUGGGACUGUGAUGUGUUCAUGCAAAACACGCUGUCCCUACUCAAAACAGUACGCUCUGAUGAAGUCUACAUAGCACAUAUACUUCACCUGUAUGAAAUGGAUUUGGAAAUUACAUGACUCAUUUAGUUCUUCCUCUCCUUAGCCUGUGAAACUAAUUUCUUCCUUGAGGUAUUGAGAUUUAGGUAAAACAGGGUUAGAGAAGCACAAAUAAUCCUGCUGCAUUCAAACUAAGUCAAAAAGUAUCAGAAGAUCUAAAGGACUAACUUGAUUUAAACUUUUCCUGGCAUGACAAAAAGACUGACGUUUCCCAAAAGAAAUUCCCCAAACUGCCAAAGACAGGGGCUGCUGAUGGAGCCAUACUUACUGAGCUGAUUCAUAUUGCUGGGAGGAUCUGAUGAGAAUAAUGAAGAUUUCAGAGAUCAAAGUUUCCACUCUCUGUGGUUCUAAGAAUGUCUCAGUUUUGUCCAAGUCACAAACAACCCCUGGGCUUUAACUAUCUAACCAGAAACUAUAUGUCAUCCUCUGUUGGGGUUACUUUAAAUGAGCACCUGUAUGUCAAGUUUGAUGCAAGUGUGUAUAGUAUUGAGAGGAUGUCCUAGAAGCCCAAAGUAAAGCACUCCUUUCUCUCCUCAGCUAAAUGAAUGAUGUUCUAUCUUGCAGAUCCAUUUUCAAUCAAUGGAUAAGGGUGUUCAAUUCUCAGCAGAGCACUGAAGAAGUCUUUUGCAGACAAUAAUUAGCAGCAAUUCACAGAGAGAUGAGUCAUUUAUGCCUUUAAUGUUACAUGUACAAAACUGUGUAUUAGUGACGACUUAUGAGGGUGCUGAAGACA